GAGCAGUUCGGACAGUUGAUAGCUACCUUAUUAGGACACUGUCAUGGGUCCAGUGAAUACGUUCAGCUGCAUGAAAUCAUGAACCUCUGUUUCGAAGAAACCGUAGAAAACAGACCAAAAGCGUCUUACAUCCGGGAGUUGUUAGAAGAGCUUCGGUGUUGUGUUGGAGUCUGGGAUACAUGUCUAUAAAUGGAAAGAACUUCGUACAGCAUUACUUUACAACUACUGACUACAACUAUUAUCUUCGGACGGACAAUUCUUGUAUUAUUACGUUAUAAAUAUAAACUAAUUCCACUGGAUGUUGAUCAUCCAUAUAAACAUUGAAUCCAUCUUUGCCAAUACUGACAAUACUUGUAUUACUUGAAUAUAAAUAGUUACUCAUUUGGCAGGAUGUUCAAAAUAUUGUAGCUGAUUUUAAUAAACUAUAUCUUUACUGAGUCCUUCAAUUA